AUUUAUAUAGUUUAUAUAAAACGGUAUAUUUUCAUUAUACAGAAAAUAAUUAGAUAUUUGUAAAUA
rnacentral:tRNA from 1 species